GCUCCGGUGGUGUAGUCCGGCCAAGGCGGCGCCGAAAGCAUAGCGGCCUUAUCAGCCGCUGAUCGCGGGUUCAAAUCCCGCCCGGAGCACCA
rnacentral:tRNA from 1 species